rnacentral:lncRNA from 1 species
CCGACCACCGAAAACAGCGGCGCAAAUUCGCAAACAAACCCGAACAGAAUCGAUGAUGUCAGGAACCAUAUCGCGAAUUUCAGGAAGGUCUUCUUGGGGGACGACUCCCGCGGGGGCAGGUGGUGGAAGGCGGUCAAGCAUCGGUCGAGCAUGAAGAGGCCGAUGUAGACGUAGAUGAUGAAGGCGACCAUGACGUAGUCGUCGUGGACGUAGGCUUUGUAGAUUGUGCUCAUACAGUUGGUGGUCAAGAAACA